CCUGCACAUUGUUAGAGCUUAAGAGUUGAGGCCGCUGGCUGGCCGAUGAACUCACAAGUGUAGGUAGUGUGCUACAUGAGGGGCAAGUCUUUUCACUAACACCACAAGGGUCUCUGGCCCAAUGAGUGGAGUUUGAUAGUAAUUCUUGCUCCAAGC
rnacentral:snoRNA from 1 species